rnacentral:rRNA from 1 species
UACGGAGGGUGCGAGCGUUGUUCGGAAUUACUGGGCGUAAGGCGCGUGUAGGCGGCCUUCUAAGUCUGGUGUGAAAGUCAAGGGCUCAACCCUUGAAUGCCGGUGGAUACUGCAGGACUAGAGUCCGGAAGAGGCGAGUGGAAUUCCCGGUGUAGCGGUGAAAUGCGCAGAUAUCAGGAGGAACACCGAUGGCGAAGGCAGCUCGCUGGGACGGUACUGACGCUGAGACGCGAAAGCGUGGGGAGCAAACAGG